rnacentral:rRNA from 1 species
GAUGAACGCUAGCGAUAGGCUUAACACAUGCAAGUCGAGGGGCAGCAUGGUCUUAGCUUGCUAAGACUGAUGGCGACCGGCGCACGGGUGCGUAACGCGUAUGCAACUUGCCUCACAGAGGGGGAUAACCCGUCGAAAGACGGACUAAUACCGCGUACACUUGGGAUAGGGCAUCCUGACCCAAGGAAAUGAAAUUCGCUGUGAGAUAGGCAUGCGUCCCAUUAGCUAGUUGGUGAGGAAACGGCUCACCAAGGCGACGAUGGGUAGGGGAACUGAGAGGUUGAACCCCCACACUGGUACUGAGACACGGACCAGACUCCUACGGGAGGCAGCAGUGAGGAAUAUUGGUCAAUGGGCGAGAGCCUGAACCAGCCAAGUCGCGUGAAGGAUGACUGUCUUAUGGAUUGUAAACUUCUUUUAUACGGGAAUAACAAGAGCCACGUGUGGCUCCCUGCAUGUACCGUAUGAAUAAGCAUCGGCUAACUCCGUG